UUCACGCAGUUGAAUCCUUCUCAACAGUC
rnacentral:piRNA from 1 species